rnacentral:snoRNA from 1 species
UUGGCUCAGAUCAGAAGCAGCAGCUUGCAGUAGCUGUUAGUUUUUUUAAAAGGGAGCCUAAAUAAAACCUUCCCAUGGUCUGUUGAUUUUUCCCAAGAUAAAAGGGAUUAAUCAAUUCAGUUGGAAGGAACAUUU